CAUUGGGAUCGGCUAGCGGCUUUGGAAAAUCUUCGAGAUGUGUAGCUUUUCAUUGUGAUUGCCUUCAUGUAAUGCCCUUAAAUUGAUGUUUGAUUUUCUUCUACCGUGCGGUGCGCUUACUAACGGCGUAGCAUCAAGUCAUCGUGUGACCAAUGUGGGAUUAGUGCUUCUCAAUGUGUGCUCUAGAGAAUGUGUCACUACAUCGACAAUGUCAGCACGAACGGGCGCUGGUCUUUGCGAGAAGAUAAACGCUGUCUCAGAAAAAGGAGAUAUCUCAGUACUGACAACGUCAUCUGCCUCGUACUACAACCGACAAAUGUUAAACUGUGUUCCUAUUGGUGUCCUAAUAUUCGUAGUCUUCGUUUUGUGUGCUGUCACCUAAAUUGAGUAGUGCGUUCGACCAUCAGCCGAGCGUUCAUGUAGAUGCCGACUUUUCCUCAUGGGCCUCGGCGACGACAGCCACGGCCGACAGUGCCGAUUAACAGAAGAACUUGCUCAACAUGUGGCAAGACGUACAGCAGUGUGAGCAACCUGCGAAAGCAUGUGCUUACUCAUACUGGAGAGAGAUCCUUUGUGUGCACUUGUUGUGGCCGGAGAUUUCUACUCAAGCACCAUCUUGAAAGGCACCUCCAAACUCUGCAUGCUCGUGCUCUAGAGACAUUUGAAAAGAGCAGAACAGGGGCACCAGUUGGGGGGGCACCACAGGCUGUGGAAUGAUUGCCCCCCCCCCUCCCCCUGAAGACACCAGCUGGACAGUGCAGUGUUGGGAAAUGGAGGGGCAGUCAGUCGAGUUUUGCCCAAGCAAGAGUUUCCAUUUUACAGUGUCCCUUCUCUCGACUACUUCCUGACUGGUACCAACAACGAGCAGUCUCCAUCAUCAUCGACGGGCCUGAAUUCUACAUCUGUCUCGGAUGUCCUAGUAGCAAGCACACGGCAGGCAUCAAUGUCACUGGCACAGCCACCAAAGGAAUUUGCCUGCACCAUCUGUGGCCGCAAGUUCAGCCUCAAGUGCAAUCUGAACCGGCACAAUCUGGUGCACACAGGCGUGCGCAACUACGGCUGCGAGGUGUGCGGACAGCGAUUUGUGUUGCGACAGCACCUCAAGAAGCACCUCGAGAGGCACGCCAAGGAGUGCUCCCAGACAAGGUCAGUGCCAUAUGCUGGGGCCACAUCCUGCGCCGUGCAUUAAGUUGUCAGCUCCCAUGGCACUUGUGCAAGAUUUUGAAGAACAGUUUCUGCCAGUAGAGCUCAAUGACUGCAUUUAUUACUGCUAGUGACCAAGUUGUGCUCAGUGUUAAAACAUAAAAUGGGCUCCAAGCUGCAGUUUGAUAACUGUGGUGCCCAUAAUAUUUCUACACAUCAAAUCAAUAAAACAAUGCAGUGAAAUGGCAUCAUAACAGUCUACUGUGGCAGCGUUUGCUAGGGCAUAAACUAUUUGUCCAGCCUUACAACCCAUGGUAUGUCAAUAAACAUGUCCAGAAUAAAAAAUCUUGCCUUCCA